rnacentral:tRNA from 1 species
GGCUCUGUGGCGCAAUGGAUAGCGCAUUGGACUUCUAAUUCAAAGGCUGUGGGUUCGAGUCCCACCAGAGUCG